rnacentral:rRNA from 1 species
GUAUGUGGGCAUACCACCCUGACACACCCGAUUUUGUCUGAUCUUGGAAGCUAAGCAGGGUCGGGCCUGGUUAGUACUUGGAUGGAAGAUUAAGACACUUGUGAGAGGAAUCAUAGCUACACAAAGU